ACAAGGACAGUCGUUAGGUCCCCUACCUAAGUCAGCACCAGUCGUCGACAGAUAUCACACUGACAACAAGGACAUAGUCGUUAGGUCCCCUACCUAAGUCAGCACCAGUCGUCGACAGACAUCAGACUGACAACAAGGACAGUCGUUAGGUCCCCUACCUAAGUCAGCACCAGUCGUCGACUGACAUCACACUGACAACAAGGACAUAGUCGUUAGGUCCCCUAUCUAAGUCAGCACCAGUCGUCGACAGACAUCACACUGACAACAAGGACAGUCGUUAGGUCCCCUACCUAAGUCAGCACCAGCCGUAGACAGACAUCACACUGACAACAAGGACAGUCGUUAGGUCCCCUACCUAAGUCAGCACCAGUCGUCGACAGACAUCACACUGACAACAAGGUAUAGUUGUUAGAUCCCCUACCUAAGUCAGCACCAGUCGUCGACAGACAUCACACUGACAACAAGGACAUAGUCGUUAGGUCCCCUACCUAAGUCAGCACCAGUCGUCGACUGACAUCAGACUGACAACAAGGAGAUAGUCGUUAGGUCCCCUACCUAAGUCAGCACCAGUCACCGACAGACAUCACACUGACAACAAGGACAGUAGUUAGGUCCCCUACCUAAGUCAGCACCAGUCAUCGACAGACAUCAGACUGACGACAAGGACAGUCGUUAGGUCCCCUACCUAAGUCAGCACCAGUCGUCGACAGACAUCACACUGACAACAAGGACAUAGUCGUUAGGUCCCCUACCUAAGUCAGCACCAGUCGUCGACAGACAUCAGACUGACAACAAGGACAGUCGUUAGGUCCCCUACCUAAGUCAGCACCAGUCACCGACAGACAUCACACUGACAACAAGGACAGUCGUUAGGUCCCCUACCUAAGUCAGAACCAGUCACUGACAGACAUCACACUGACAACAAGAACAUAGUCGUUAGGUCCCCUACCUAAGUCAGUACCAGUCGUCGACAGACAUCACACUGACAACAAGGACGGUCGUUAGGUCCCCUACCUAAGUCAGCACCAGUCGUCGACAGACAUCAGACUGACAACAAGGACAUAGUCGUUAGGUCCCCUACCUAAGUCAGCACCAGUCACCGACAGACAUCACACUGACAACAAGGACAGUCGUUAGGUCCCCUACCUAAGUCAGCACCAGUCGUCGACAGACAUCACACUGACAACAAGGACAGUCGUUAGGUCCCCUACCUAAGUCAGCACCAGUCACCGACAGACAUCACACUGACAACAAGGACAGUUGUUAGGUCCCCUACCUAAGUCAGCACCAGUCGUCGACAGACAUCACACUGACAACAAGGACAUAGUCGUUAGGUCCCCUACCUAAGUCAGCACCAGUCGUCGACAGACAUCACACUGACAACAAGGACAUAGUCGUUAGGUCCCCUACCUAAGUCAGCACCAGUCGUCCACAGACAUCACACUGACAACAAGGACAUAGUCGUUAGGUCCCCUACCUAAGUCAGCACCAGUCGUCGACAGACAUCACACUGACAACAAGGACAUAGUCGUUAGGUCCCCUACCUAAGUCAGCACCAGUCGUCGACAGACAUCACACUGACAACAAGGACAGUAGUUAGGUCCCCUAUCUAAGUCAGCACCAGUCACCGACAGACAUCACACUGACAACAAGGACAUAGUCGUUAGGUCCCCUACCUAAGUCAGCACCAGUCGUCGACAGACAUCACACUGACAACAAGGACACAGUCGUUAGGUCCCCUACCUAAGUCAGCACCAGUCACUGACAGACAUCACACUGACAACAAGGACAGUCGUUAGGUCCCCUACCUAAGUCAGCACCAGUCAUCGACAGACAUCACACUGACAACAAGGACACAGUCGUUAGGUCCCCUACCUAAGUCAGCACCAGUCGUCGACAGACAUCACACUGACAACAAGGACAGUCGUUAGGUCCCCUACCUAAGUCAGCACCAGUCACCGACAGACAUCACACUGACAACAAGGACAUGGUCGUUAGGUCCCCUAUCUAAGUCAGCACCAGUCGUCGACAGACAUCACACUGACAACAAGGACAUAGUCGUUAGGUCCCCUACCUAAGUCAGCACCAGUCACCGACAGACAUCACACUGACAACAAGGACAUAGUCGUUAGGUCCCCUACCUAAGUCAGCACCAGUCGUCGACAGACAUCACACUGACAACAAGGACAGUCGUUAGGUCCCCUAUCUAAGUAUUUGAAAUAGCAGCAUUCUGCUAAAUAAUGAUUGUGCUUUUUGGAGUUUCUGUAUAGGGCAGGUAUUGUCUUUGUCAAUUCAUUAUUGUGUUAAUCUAGCCAUUUAAUUUGGUAAUGCGCUAAAUGUUGAGUACAACAGCGAUACAUUUAGAGUAUUCCGCGCCAAGCUUUGCUGGGUGGGGGAUAAGGAAAUGCAGAAAUCAGUGAUUUUGACUUUGUUUUUAUAAAAAGAACACAAAAUGUAUGUGAUUUGUCAAAUACAUUUAAUUUCAUACAUCUUAACAUAAACAUGUAUUAUACAAUAAAUGCAACCGACACAAAGGCUAAAAAUUGAUUGCAUACACAUGUACAAUUAGUUUUUCUACUAAAGCUUGUGAUAUUUUGGCAACACAUUUGGAAUAUAAGGUAAUUUCAAAUACGAGCUAAAAUAAUACUGGACUGCAUGCUACAAUAUCAAAUGUAAUAAAAACCAAUUUAUUACAUGUUUAACAUGGUAACAUACUAACUGUUAUGAUCAGAUGGCACAGUGAAGUUUUUGUCUCAAUAAUAUUACCUGAACUUUCUAUAUAACUAGUCGUGUUUUUAUUCCAGUUGUAUGUAAUUUGCUGAUAUACAUAUGUAAAGUUUGAAGUAGGGGGGUUACAAACUUCAAAACUUUUAUUUUUAAACAGGGAAAGAUUGUCAAUAAUCCAUUUAAUUUUUUUUCUUCUUACUUUAAUUUUUCCUGAAAUCUCCAAAUUCCAGACAAUUACAUGAGGAACUGAGAUUUCUAGAUUAGCAUUUGUCCGAUAUAUCCAAGACUCAAAAUUGUUAUAUAUAACAUACAAUGGUCACUGCUUAUGGUAUUCAUAUAUAAGUUUGUACUGAACCUACAAGUAUCCAUUUAUAUUAUAUCAUUUAUAUUCAAUUAAGUUUACUUUCAUACACCUAUCCAUGAAAGCUUUUUUCCACGAAAAAAAAAAAUUCUGCCUUCGGUAUUUAUAGUUAGUAUGGAACCCACAAAAAUACAAACUAAUAAAAUCUUACUUAGGCCUGUUCAAUGGACAGGGAUAUCUCAACCCUGUAUAUAGUGCAAGAGUUCGACUGGUCAGCACUUGGCAAUAUCUCAACCUUUGAAUAAGAGUUCGGCUGGUCAGCACUUGGCAUUAAUAUCUCAACCCUUGAAUAAGAGUUCGGCUGGUCAGCACUUGGCAAUAUCUCAACCUUUAAAUAAAAGUUUGGCUGGCCAGAACUUGGCAAUAUCUCAACCCUUGAAUAAGAGUUCGGCUGGCUUGUUGAAUGGCGGCCAGCGAAAGUCUUACAAGAGGGUUGAAAUAUACCUGUCCACAGUACAGACUAGCGUUUGAUUAUUUUUCUCACAUACUUUAAAAAAGGUAACAAACUGUAAGGUGUUGGUUAAUGUUUUCAUCUCUUCAUUAUAAAAUGAAAUGAGCAUUGAAAUCGAUGACAUAAUCAAAUUGCGACAUGGUUAGCUACAUAAAAUGAUAAUGUUAUGCUAUUGCGAGUGGCAUCAUAGCACAUGCCAGUUGUCUUUCCCUUCCCAUGGGAGAUUGCUUUAUCCCAUCCAUAGCAACCAGAGGAUCACCCUGUGAAGUAUGUGAGAAAUAUACAUCAAGUUUAGUAAAUACCAUUUAUAUCUAAUUAAUUUUAGUUUUACCGUCAUAUCUAUGGAAACUUGUUCCACAAAAAUUCAAACCAUUUAAGACAGUAACCACAAAAAAUGUAUAUUUGUACCACAUGGAGUUUAUAUCCUCAAAGUAUGCAGAAAAAUACUGCCCGAUCUAAACCUCCAGACCAGAAGAUAACACAGAUACCAGCGAUACCACCAGGAUAAUCCUGACACUUGUGGACUGUUAAACAUUGAUUCUUACAUCAUCUGUAAGAAACAACAGUAAAGUUGCAGUCAUUCCACCGGGAAACACCAAACAGUACAGAAACUGUAGGCAUUGUAAUUGACUGUAACCACCUGGAAGAUACCACUGUCUCUAGCACUGUAGUGGAGUCAUUCAAGCUCGCCCUUGUAAUUAUUAGUCACCCCUGAUAAAGUCACUCUCCCUCCAUCAUAUUAUAGCUUAGCUGGAAAUCUAUGACGUCUAGAUACAUAUGUAAUUUUAUACCUGGUUAGAUAGUAGAUAUUUCUGGUUAUGCCAGUCAGACAAAAUCUUAACAUGUACAACUGUUUAUAAAAAUGUAUGUACACAGUCCUUCUGUUCAAUUUGUGGCACUUUAGUUUUGACAACAGUGUAAAUAUGACAAUAUGAAGAAACUAUAAACAGUUUGGCAGGUGAAAAUAUGGUGAAUAUAAUCGUGCAACCUUGUUAGUGUGACCUUGGCCACUUAAGUACUAAUGUUUUAUAGUAGCGAAGGUCAAAUGUUUGGCAAAAUCUCUUUAAAAUACGCAAGGUCAAAGGGUGACAACUUUGUUAAACAUUAUACACAAGUCAUAAUUAUAUAAAUUUUUCGACAGGUUUACAUGGCUAAUAAUAGAACAUCGGGAAUUUCUACAUUAUGA